rnacentral:rRNA from 1 species
UAGAGUUUUGAUCAUGGCUCAGGAUGAACGCUAGCGGGAGGCCUAACACAUGCAAGCCGAGCGGUAGAUUACUUUCGGGUAAUUGAGAGCGGCGUACGGGUGCGGAACACGUGUGCAACCUGCCUUUAUCAGGGGGAUAGCCUUUCGAAAGGAAGAUUAAUACCCCAUAAUAUAUUAUUCGGCAUCGGGUGAUAUUGAAAACUACGGUGGAUAGAGAUGGGCACGCGCAAGAUUAGCUAGUUGGUGAGGUAACGGCUCACCAAGGCGACGAUCUUUAGGGGGCCUGAGAGGGUGAUCCCCCACACUGGUACUGAGACACGGACCAGACUCCUACGGGAGGCAGCAGUGAGGAAUAUUGGACAAUGGGUGAAAGCCUGAUCCAGCCAUCCCGCGUGCAGGAAGACGGCCCUAUGGGUUGUAAACUGCUUUUAUCUGGGGAUAAACCUACUUACGUGUAAGUAGCUGAAGGUACCAGAAGAAUAAGCACCGGCUAACUCCGUGCCAGCAGCCGCGGUAAUACGGAGGGUGCAAGCGUUAUCCGGAUUUAUUGGGUUUAAAGGGUCCGUAGGCGGACUGAUAAGUCAGUGGUGAAAUCCGACAGCUUAACUGUCGAACUGCCAUUGAUACUGUUAGUCUUGAGUAAGGUUGAAGUGGCUGGAAUAAGUAGUGUAGCGGUGAAAUGCAUAGAUAUUACUUAGAACACCAAUUGCGAAGGCAGGUCACUAAGUCUUAACUGACGCUGAUGGACGAAAGC